GUUAUAGUUACCUUGUUUUAAAAGAUGUCUAGCACUUAAAUAUCUUUAUCUCUGUUUAAACAGUUAAAAUUUGUUUUGUUAUUAUUGGGAGAUAGAGAUGACUGUUUUCACUGUACUCAGUCUUUAUCAGCUUAAAAGUCAGCCUGAGACACAAAUGAAAGCUCAUUGGAUGCCAAAAUUGUGGAAGCAAGGUAACAGUAUUUUAAUUACUGGCAUGUAUAAUUUAAUUACUGGUCUAACAACCAGAAAAUGCCCUGAAUAAGAAUGGUCUUCUCAUUUCUAUAUUGAUGAAACUCAAUCUUUUUCCUCCGCAAAGGAUGGGGCACCUCAUAAGUGCUUAAGGUGGAAGUAAAGCAAAAUCAUAAUUUAAGAGCAAAUAAUGUCCACCCAGAACAGCUUUUCAAAGUGAUCUUCAUGAAAACAUUAGCUUUUUCUAGCAUCAGCUUUGAGUUUCUAUAACUGCCCACUCACUGAGUCAUCUGUAGCAAUUGAAAAUUUGGAUAUGUCCUAUUUUUUAAGGUAUUUUUUGAUAAAGUGGCUUCCUUUUAUCUCUCAUGAAUGAAGUAAGCAAGCCUCAUAUAGAAUAGCCUGCACAGUGUAUGCCUUAUUGUUUCCUGGGAGCAAGUGAGGAACUUUAGGAAGCAAUCGAAUGUUGUCCAUGUAUUAGGACACCAUGAACUAAAUGAUGCAUUUUGGGAGUAGUUGGCAUAAUUUUCUGUUUUAUAUUCCCUCACUUCUACGUUCCACCAAAACCUUUUAGUAUCUUUGGCUAUUUGAUGACAGAAAGAUAAAGUGAACUCGAUUUUUCUCCACGUGACAGUAUAUGUUAAAAUUGUUGGUAUGAAGAAACAUGGUACAUAUUACUAAUAGAGAUAUAUGCAGUGACAGUGUAGAACACUUGGCCAAAUGAAAAGUGAAUGAUCUAUUGAUUGAGUGAAAUCACUGACCUCAAUUAAAGGAGGAGGGAACUUGCUGCUUCUCUUCCCUUGUUGAUCUUUUCUCCCUGAUGGCUAGAUACGUAUUUUUAAGUGAUUCUGUUAAAAAAAUCCUCUGCUUAUUUCUAUUCCAUUCUGAAUUUUACUGUUUGGUAUUGUGAUCAGGCAUAAGAGAGAGAGGACUGAAAUCUUGUUUUUUCUCUAAUUCCACUGCUAGUGUAUUUCGCAUCUGCUCAUUCUUAGCUUAGAAAAUUAUAAUUUGUUAAAAGCAAGAUGUUCACCUCCUGACUACUUGUUGUAAUCUAGUUUAGCUCGUGCAUUUGAUGAUAAGCUCUGCAGUUAUUUUUGGUUCUUCAUAUCAGUGUCUGACUGAUGAAGUUCAAAUGAAUAAUAAUUUGUGGAAAACAAUGAAAAAUAUGUUCAUAGGUGAUUUGGGAGUUUAGUUGACCCAUGAACUACAAUUUUUGUGUUGUAUUUUUUAAGAAGCAGAAGAAAAGGAACAUGAUUUUAGUUACAUAAGUACUUUUCAUACCCUUAACAAUUAUAUUGUAACUAGUGCAGAUUGACUGUCAUAGUGAUAUUUCAACUUUUGGUCCCUGGGUAUCAUUUUUGAGAAAGUACUGAGAGAGCAAGAAGGCUAUAUCUUCUUAAGGUUUAGUGCUACAGUUGAACCACUUUUUGAAUUGCCAGCAAAUUGAACUGUUAGGAGGAAAGGAAAUGGUAUGUAUAGCAAAACUUUUCUCUAGGGCAGGAAAAAAGUUGCUCAUUUUUAUAAGGUGAUUAUUUUGGAGAUGGUACUUUUGUAGUUUGAGAUUAUUGUGAACUGUAAUCUGUAAAACACAUUUGUAGUAAAUGAGUUAUAGGGCAUGUAUCAAAGUACUUAUAGUAUCUAGCCUAGUUCCAGUAGCUUAGAAUACCCAUUUUGAAAGUAUAAGAUUUCUUCUGACCUGCCCCUUUUAGAGUUUGAAUUUUCCAAGUCUGUGUCAUUUAUUUCAUAAUAUAAAUUUUUUGAGGGAGUCUAAAUGCUAUGUCAGUUAUUCUGACUAUUCACUUGAUUGUUUUUUUUGUAGCAUUUGGAAUGUUAAGCACCAGUGCUAAAUAUUGUCAUUUAUCUGGUUUUAGAGAAUGUUUCUGUAAAAAUCUUUUUACUUAAACAAGUGAUAGAUGAAUAGUAUCUCAGAACAAAUCAAACAAUAUAGCAAUAUAUAGAAAAAAGAGCCAAAUUCCUCCUGCAUAUCUCUCCCUCUAUUUAUUUACCUCUGAGGGGUAGUCACUGAAGUCAGCUUGGUAUCUUUCCAGAUCUUUUAUUCUGUGUGUGUGUGUAGUUUUAUUUUGUGUCUAUAUUUUUAUCAUAUUGCAUACGUUGUUCUACAUUCUGUUCUCUACCCCAGUAUGGAAUAUGUCUUUUCAUGUCUGUACAUGUAGUUCUAUCUCGUUCUUUGACUGUUAGAUAGUAUUCCUUAGCAUAGAGUUAUAGUUUGUUUAUUCUAUUAAAAAAAUUAAAAACAAUGCUCUUGGAAUAGACUCAUAGUGCAGAAGCUUAGUACUUUUAAUCUGGAAAUGGUAAAGACCAUUUGGUUUCUUCAAGUUUGUUUUCUUAAUAGGCAGAACAUGUUUAAUUCUUUAUCAAAACUGAGAGGAAGCAAAAAUUGAUAAUUCAUAGCUGGAUUAUUUCAGCUUCUUUUAAAAAUACCUGGAUCAUGUUGUGCUGUUCUAGGUAUAUGAUUUAAUGCAAUUGAAACUAAGUUAUGGUUGCAUUGCUGAGUUCCCAUUUGCAGUUGGGAAGAACAAAAAUGAUUACGAUUUUUCUGCAGUGAGACAGGAUGGAUAAAAGCAGCUUAUAUUUAGGCUAUAUAGAUCUUCUUUGCUGAAUGUGACCAGAAGGACUAUCCAUGAGGGUAGGAGCCCUGUAUUUUCCUGUCCAGUGUUAGAUCCCCUGUGCCUCCCAUUGUGCCUAGUGUGACAAAGACGUGAAGAUGGAUGAAUGAAUGGUGAGUGAAUAAAUGCCAUAUAUGUGAAGCAUGUCAGUUUUGGGGCCAUGAGUUGAAAAUAACCCACUGUGGGCCAGCCCCGUGGCCAAGUUGUUAAGUUCGUGCACUCUGCUUCAGUGGCCCAGGGUUUCCCCAAUUCGGAUCCUGGGCGCGGACAUGGUACCACUCAUCAAGUCAUGCUGAGGCACACCACACAUAACACAACCAGAAGGACCUACAGCUAGAAUAUACAACUAUGUACUGGGGAGCUUUGGGGAGAAGAAGGAGAAAAAAAAAAGAUUGGCAACAGAUGUUAGCUCAGGUGCCAAUCUUUAAAAAAAAAGAAAACCCAGUGGUUAAGGCUGCAGAGAUUAGCCCUGAAUAGCAUUCUUAUUGGUACCUCUAUCAUUCAGAGGACUUAAGUUCUUUGAUAGAUUAUCAGAAAUUUAAGUUGUUUUGCUUUCUUGUUAUAUUAUUUUCUUUUAUAAGUAGCGUUUCUCUUUUUUCAGGUGGAUUAACAUUGUUACUAAAAUAGCUUUGUCUAAACCAUUCAGAAUGAAUAACUCUGAUGAGUAGUUUUUGCUGUGUCUCCCACCAGUGGUUUCCAUCUUUAUUAUUUCCAUAUUGAGGAUGCUUGCUGUUUUUACUUCAGUUUAGGAAGCAUUUUCUGAGUGCCUCCUUUGUGAUGGGCCUGAUGCAAGAGGUUGGGGAUACAAAAAUGAACAAACUGCCGUCCUCACUCUCCCGCCUCUCGUUGUCCAGAGGGGAAUACAAGAAUAAGAAAAUGUCAGCAUUACUUGGAAAGUGCAAUUAUACAUGUAUAUGUUGGACCAUAAUUUUGUGAUUUGAUGUUAAUUUGACCAUUCUGAGAUUGAGACAGUUUGUAAGCCAAGAGUUUAAAGUAUCUCUACGGCUUCGUCAUGUUUCACAUUCUGGCAUCAUUACUUUUGGAGAACCUACAGGUGAAUAACUGGUUUUUAGUAUAUGUGUGGUGUUCUUCUCUCCUUCUAUCAGUUUCUUGCAUUUGAACUGCUCUGUCAGAGCAAAGGACUGUGAACCAUAUCUGGUCUCAGCUUCCACUUGCUGCUGGAAAAAGAACUCAUCUCCCAUAAUCAUUUCUUUUGUUGUUGUUUAUUACCUUUUUCUUGUAUUAGUUUGAACAUUGAUACUAACAAUAUGAAGAAGUGGCAGAAUUUAGGACCUUCUGCUAGUGAUUUCUGUCCUUGUUUUGGGUGGAGAUUCUAAAAAGAGGUAAGAUUUGUUUGAAGACAAAUAUUUGCAACCUACUAUGAGGGAAUUCCUACCCUACAAAAUUAUUCUGGGAGCAAGCUAAUUAUAUUUACAAGUGGGCAAUGAACAUCCAGUCAUCUGAGAACAUGAGGUCAGGCCAUCCUACGUAUCUCCUUUAAUCCUCAUAAUAAUCCUGUACUGAGGCAGCCUUGGCACCCAGAUGGCCUUCCUGUGAUGGUGGUCUUGGAGAAUGUCUGGGCUGGGUUAGAAAAGCCUCCUCUGUUAGGUCUACAUCAUUAACUGAGGAGAGUCAAAAUCGUAAUACACAAAAGUAAUUGCAGUGAAGGCCAUAUGUAUAUUGGUGGCUGGUCGGAUUUGGCCUAUGGGUCAUAUAGAUUGACAAUCCCUGCUCUAUUAAACGUUCCUAUCUUCAGAAAAUAAGUUAAGGAAUGAGAGGCAAGGAAGAAAGGACAUUCAUCUUGGAAGAACCCAAAGCACUUUCAAAUUUUAAAGGAAUGUAAUGAUAGCUGCUAAAACCACCUUUGUCACCAUAAUGGAUGAAGUUCUUCAAAUUUAACCGAAAUCUUUCCUCAUUAAGACUCAUCUCAAAUGGUAUCACCUGCAUGCCAUCUUUCCAGACACUUCCUUCAUCCAGUAAGUACCCUAUAGUGGCACUUAUAUGUUUUGCGCUCUUUUAAACAUUACUAUAUUUUAUAUUAUCCUUCCCCUUACUUGAAAUUACUUUCUUGGGAAAUUAGCUCACUUGAAAUUAACAGUGUCUUAUUUUACUGAUCUUUGUAUAUACCAUGUCAUACAUGGCAUAUCAUAGUCACAAAAUAACAUUUGUUGAAUUAAAGAUCAGAAACAGCUAAAGGAAAAUAACAUAUAUGACAAAAAUGAUCAGAAGUCAAAUCAUGAGAGAAGUGAUCAAUAUUGAGUUCCUAGAGAGGAGAAGACUUGAG
rnacentral:lncRNA from 1 species